rnacentral:sRNA from 1 species
AGCGCCCCGGUCCCCGCCGCAGCCGCUGCAUCCUCCGUGCCCGGCCUGAGCUGGAGUCCCCCGCGCCCCCCGCGUUCCGCCCGGCCAUGGCUGCGGUGGCGUUGAUGCCACCGCCGCCGCUGCUGCUGCUGCUGCUGUUGGCGUCGCCGCCCGCCGCCUCCGUGCCGUCCGCCCGCGAUCCCUUCGCCCCCCAGCUCGGGGACACGCAGAACUGCCAGCUGCGGUGCCGCGACCGCGACCUCGGCCCGCGGCCCUCGCAGGCGGGGCUGGAGGGCGCCUCCGAGUCUCCCUAUGACAGAGCCGUUCUGAUCAGCGCUUGCGAGCGUGGCUGCCGCCUCUUCUCCAUCUGCCGAUUUGUGGCCAGAAGCUCCAAGCCCAAUGCCACCCAAACUGAGUGUGAAGCAGCCUGCGUGGAAGCCUAUGUGAAGGAGGCAGAGCAGCAGGCCUGUAGCCAUGGCUGCUGGAGCCAGCCCACGGAGCCUGAGCCGGAGCAGAAGAGAAAGGUCCUGGAGGCUCCAAGUGGGGCCCUCUCCCUCUUGGACUUGUUUUCCACCCUCUGCAAUGACCUCGUCAACUCAGCCCAGGGAUUUGUCUCCUCCACCUGGACAUACUACUUGCAGACUGACAAUGGGAAGGUGGUGGUGUUUCAGACUCAGCCCAUAGUGGAGAGCCUCGGCUUCCAGGGGGACCGUCUGCAGCGCGUGGAGGUGACCUGGCGAGGCUCCCACCCUGAAGCUCUGGAGGUGCACGUGGGUAAGGUGCAACCUAGACCAGUGUUCCUUCCAUGGGUGGCCCCACUGCCACAAGGAGUCGGCCUGGCAAACAGACCUUCUAGGAUCGGGAUCUCCAUCUCUCAAGUCCUGGGUUCCAUGGCUCAUCCCCCAGGUCUCCAUGGUCUAUUUCCCAGGGUUCCAUGGUCCACCUCCCAGGGUUCCGUGGUCCACUUCUCAGGGUUCCGUGGUCUACUUCCCAGGGUUCCGUGGUCCAUCUCCACGGGUUCCAUGGUCUAUUUACCAGGGAUCCGUGGUCCACCUCCCAGGGUUCCGUGGCCCACCUCCCGGGUUCCGUGGCCACCUCCCAGGGUUCCGUGUUCCGCCUCCCAGGGUUCUGUGGUCCACCUCCCAGGGUUCCAUGGUUCACUUUCCAGGGUUCUGUGGCCCAUCUCCCUGGGUUCUGUGACCCAUCUCCCAGGGUUCCAUGGUCCAUCUCUCAGAGUUCCAUGGGUUCAUCUCCUAGGGUCAUCUCCUAGGGUCCAUCUCCAAGGGUUCUUUGGUCCAUCUCUCAGGGUUCCAUGGUUCAUCUCCUAGGAUUCUGCAGUUCAUCUCCCAGGGUUCUGUGGCCCAUCCCCCAGGGUUCUGCAGUCCAUCUCCCAGGGUUGCAUGGUCCAUUUCCCAGGGUUCCAUGUUCCAUCUCCCAGGGUUCCAUGUUCCAUCUCCCAGGGUUCCAUGGGUUCAUCUCCUAGGGUCAUCUCCUAGGAUCCAUCUCCCAGGGUUCCAUGGGUUCAUCUUCUAGGGUCAUCUCCUAGGGUCCAUCUCCUAGAGUUCUUUGGUCUAUCUCUC